CUAAAAUUUAAAGUCUUCUGUUGAAAAAAAUGGAGACAGACGGAAGCAGAAACAGAGCAAACACCUAAAAACAGAUAAGCUGCUCUGCUGAUGAGUUUGGUUAAGGGCUUGAUUUGUAAUUUGCAUGUGCAGCUGUUGAGAUGAGGCGGUGUUUGCUGCCUCCACUGCUGAACUAACGCGUCCUUAUCAGAGGAAUUGUGUUUGAAUUUCUCAGAGUGAACAGCUGAAUCCGUGCACAGACGAGCAUUAAUUCUGCUGCAGGCCGUCUGCACUCAGAGAUAAUUUCCAAACUUGUGUUUCUAUUCUCUGCCGUUUAUUUUUCUGACAGGUACAUCAAGCUUCCCUGUAUUACUACGAGCAGGACGUAUUAAUUUUAGGGGAACAAUGAGUGUUUCAUUUGAAAUGUAUGGAAUUCCAGGGCGUGCAGCUUUGCUGCUUUUCUGAAAGAGCCAAGGUGACGCCGUCGUGACAAAUGGCUUCCAAUGCCGUUACCAGCAACAAAGGAAAUACAGCUGACCGGCCUGCUCAAUAAGUCAUAAAGACAAGACGGUGGAGCGGCGCAGGUGCAGCACCGUGAUGGACUGCCCACGCCCCGGGACUCAUCUGUGUUUGUGGAGUCGGAGGAGGAGGAAUUACAGGAGGAAGGAAGUAAAGCUGGAGGAAGAACAGAGAGGAUUCAACAAGAAACCCGUGAAACGCAGAGGAGUGUGUGACUAAAGCUGAUGCUGCUGUUGAAAUUCCGGUCAAAUGUUUCUAAACUCAGAAAACUGUCUUCUGUUAGGGAAAAAACAUUGGUUCUUGACGGGUAAAAGCGUGUUUUUAAACUUUUAUUUUAAAUACAGUUGAACAAAAUGUUCAACUUCUGCUCAUAGCAUUUCUGGUAUUGAUGGUAGAAUAUGCAAUGGAAAAAUGUCUUCCUCGAAACAAGUUAAAACAUUCAAAGUACAAGAUGUUUAUUUCCCUUGUUAUAAGUGAAAAAAUCUGUCAAAAAACCAAGUAGAACAGCAAGUAAAUCAGCAAUAAACACUCAUUUAAGGAUAUUGCUCUGAUAGUUGGAAAUAAGUAAUAAGGGAGUAAUGUUAAAAAAAAAGUUCUAUAUCUUUAAAUUUAGUGCAUUUAUACACAUGUAUAUGUGCCUUUACGUCAAAAUGUACUAUUUGAAGCAACACAACAGUCAAACGUCCUUAUUUCCAUACCAAAUUAAAUACGACUAAACGUUUUAAGAUAAAGCUUUCAAAAAUAUAUAAAAAUUAUAAGUCUAAACAUUUAGCUUCUUUAGAGAUAUUGCUUAAAAUAAGAUUUUUUUAACUCAUUAAGAUGUUCAGUUUUCUGUUACAAGUAUUGCAUCCUAUAGAAAAGUUACUAUAAAGUUAGUUUUGUGUCAUAUCAAGUACAAAAAACAGAUUAAACUAGAAAGUAGACAAAAAAACGUAAUAAGAUUUUGAGUUUUUGCAUUAGGGAAGUGCUUAUAUGCAUUGUGAGGGAAUGAGUGGCAACAAAAUGUUGUGGCACAACUUCUUUCUAUCAUGUAUUGACUAUUUUAAAAAAUCUUUUUUCCUUUUAGGUCAAAGCUAACUGCUUUUUUGUGUUUUUAUAUUACAGGCUUAACCAAAUCUGCUGCCAGGUAAAUAUUGAGCUUAUCAAGAAAACCUUGGAUUUUCUCUACUAAACUAUUAAUAUUCAAACUUUUCAAUGACAGCCCCCCCCCCCAGAAAUGAGUCAAACAUUCUUGACCUAUAAGAACCCAAGGUGACAUCAAUGUAACAGAAACAUAUCAGAAAUAGGGUCUGUUAUCCACCUGGUUUGUAGUGCAUUCCACAUCAUUUUAUUUUUAAGGAAAAAUGGGUUUGGGUCUUUAUGGGUGAAAAUUAUUGAAAAAAAAAAUCUGCCAGUGGGGUAAGAUAAAGAAUUCUUAUUUUAAGAAAAAAUUCUAGUAACUAGAACAUAUUUUCUUAAAGCUAAGAUUAUUAUUGUAUUCGAAAACUUCCUUAAACAUAAUUUUCUUGAAAGACAGAAAAUAUAUUUUCUAUUUAAUUUCUAUUUAUAUAUAUUCUUGCACACCAGAUUUUCUUCUCAUAUAAAUAAACACACUGGCUCCCACUUUUAAAAGUGUUUUUGUAUGAAAACAUUGAAAAAGCAAAUGACCUUUUUUUAACAUUUAGAAGAAAAAAAAAACAGCAAAAAAAACAUCUCCUCAUUGCUUUUUUACGACAGUGUGGAAGAUAAACUCCAGCGAAGAGCUGCUGAUAUAAUCUGUAUGCAUGCAAACCGCUCUGAAGCAAUCAGGUGUGUCUGAACAGUAACAAGGAGAGGACGAUAAAAACACCCAAGAGCUUCAUGUCAGUCUCUGCAGGCCUUAGCAUGUUCACGCACAAGUUCAUGAAAGAUAAGAUAGAAGGAGAAUCAAGAAUGUGGAUCCAUAACUGAUGUCGCAGAACUGCAUCAGAUUCAGUAUCUUGACACGUGCACUUUCAGCUGCAAAGCACGGUGGUGGAAUGUUGAUGAUGUGGGUUUGUUCUCCAUCCUCUGGACUCACGUAUAAAUCCAGGCAGUGAUUUGCAAUCUGACAUGAUCAAUUCAGAUAUGACUUGAAAUUUCUCACUGACUGUGUGGGACACCGACAGCACCAAACAGGAAAAGAUUUUUCAAGAUUGUUGGUUUCAAAAUACUCAAAAAACAAUUAUUCAAACUUCUUUAGAACUAUGAGGCAGACAUGCAUGCCAUCAUGAGCUAAAGGAAAGCAAAGAAGAGGGUCUAGACAGAGUUAAAAAAAAAAGCAAAAAUCAAAUAAAUAAAUCUGCAGGACUCCGGCUUUUAAGAAGUUUUAAGUAAUGACAACUUUAAAAAAAAAAAGUUCUGUGCUUCUUUGUUUUAAUCGGUCAUUUACCCCAUUUUCAGUUGCAAAGGGAACCUGAGGUGAACUCCUGAGCUGUCGCUUCUGCCUACAAAAACUUUGAUCUUUUUGAAUUUUCAUUGAGAUGGGCGGAACAAACAUAAAUGCUGUUGUUCCUUACUAAGGAGAAGGACUUGUAACCUAGGUUUAUUAAAUCUAAAGUUGGGACUGAAGUGACUUCAGCAGUGAUUUAAAUCAACAACCGAGUCGCUCUUCAGAUCUUCAGAUCAGACGUCCAGAGCUGUCGCGUGUGAGCGCGGCGAGAAAACCACGUUAAGCUCUGCUGGAGCUCCUACGUCUGCUGUUUGUCACUUUACAUAACGUGUAGGAGAAGAGUGCGUGCGGCCUCACAGACCUGACAUGGAGCAGUCAGCUGGAGGCUGAUGGAUCUGCAGGGAUGGGCCUUAAACAAGAGCAGAGGAAGAUGAGUGAGGUCGGUGUGAAACGUGAUUAAAGUGCAGCCUUACCCUCUUCUUUUGAUUUAAAGGAGAAUGGUGCAAACAACUCAUCUCACCUCCCCCCGCGCCCACACACACAAACACAGUCGUUAUAGAAGAAAAAGCCCGUUUGUGAGGAAGAGGGGGAUGAAGGGAAACAGCCUUGGCGGCACUCAGAGCAAGUGUGAGGGGAAGAUUUUAGUCAUCUUCGCCUACCAAGCUGGAAGAAAGCACUCUGAAGCUAGCAGAGAUUCACAGAAGAAAGCAGUUGGAGGAUCUUGUCAGCUUUUGUGAAAGUUCAAAGUUUUCACUUCAGUUUGGUUGGAGACCAGCAUUCCUUGCAUUCCUCUUUUUCUGCGUUUGCUUUUUUUAUUCUCUAAACUUCUUAAUACUGUUCAUGGUUGCUGGAGCCUAUCCAAAUUGAUCCACUGUUCCACAAUUUGACAAAAACAACACUUUCUUUCUGAUUUAAAAAAUGGUUCAGUUCAAAGCCAAAUUUCUACUUUCCAUCAUUUUAGUAUUUAUUUAUUUUUCUACCCUACUAUAGUGUGGUAAUAUGUCGACUUGUGUGUGUGUGUGGAGGGGGGAGUGGUUUCUUCCUUAAGUAAUCUCUUAUUCUUUGUUAUUAUGUUAACACUUUGAGUGAAAUUGAUUUUUUGGAAAGGUAUUAUACAAAUAAAGUUUGAUUUGAUUCUCGUCUCCAAUUUCCUUGUCCUGGGAAAUGUAAGAAGUGUAUCCUCUGUAGUUGGAACUUUCUGUUUUUUUGAAAAGUGCGGCUAUCACCUUGGUCCAGAGACAUUUUCCCGGCUGCUGCGCAGUGUCCCAAAAGCAUGUCUUGCAAAACAACCCCACAGCAUCCAGAAAUAUGAGGUAAUCAGGGUGGAAAUAGAGUAUUUUCCUCUGCAACUGCCCGUGCAGCAAAUUACUGCAGAGACCUGUUAGCUGAAAAACAUCUAAAUAAACAGCAAAAGACUUUAAACACUUGAAAUGAAAUACCUGUAAAUUAUGCAAAAAACUAAACACAAAGAAAACAGAAAAAAUUGCAACUAUAUGCCCAGAAAAAACUCCUUAAAACAAACAAAAAGAACAAAA